rnacentral:rRNA from 1 species
UGCGGAAGGAUCAUUAACGAUUUGAGGAGUUUCAGUGCUGGUCUCUCGGGACAUGUGCACGAUUCUCCAAUAAUUAAAUCUUCACCCCUGUGCACACAUAGUAGGGCUCGAAAGGGCCCUAUGUAUUUUACAAACCAUUUGUAUGUCAUUAGAAUGUCAUUUUAUCAAGUAUGCUCGCGAGAGCAGAAAGAAACAAAUACAACUUUCAACAACGGAUCUCUUGGUUCUCCCAUCGAUGAAGAACGCAGCGAAAUGCGAUAAGUAAUGUGAAUUGCAGAAUUCAGUGAAUCAUCGAAUCUUUGAACGCACCUUGCGCCCUUUGGUAUUCCGAAGGGCAUGCCUGUUUGAGUAUCAUUAAAUUCUCAACUAAACAAUGGUUUAUUCUAUUGGUUAGCUUGGAUCUGAGGGUUUUGUCGGUCCCUAGUUGGUCGACUCCCUUUAAAAGCAUUAGCGGAUUUUACCAUCGUGGAUACGCCUCGAUUUGAUAAUAUCUAUGUCGUCGCGCUGAAGCGGUAAUCUGCUCAUAACCGUCCUAAUUGCUGGACAAUUUAUUGAUUAUUUGAUUCUCAAAUCAAGUAAGACUACCUCGCUGAACUUAAGCAUAAUCAAUAAGCGGAGGAAAAGAA